rnacentral:rRNA from 1 species
UUCCGGUUGAUCCUGCCGGACCCGACCGCUAUCGGGGUGGGGCUUAGCCAUGCGAGUCGAACGCCCCGGGGACCCGCCGGGGCGUGGCGCACGGCUCAGUAACACGUGGCUAACCUACCCUCGGGAGGGGGACAACCCCGGGAAACUGGGGUCAAUCCCCCAUAGGGGAGGGGUGCUGGAAGGCCCCCUCCCCAAAAGGGGCCACGCCCGGCACCCGGCGCGGCCCGCCCGAGGAUGGGGCUGCGGCCCAUCAGGCAGUUGGCGGGGUAACGGCCCGCCAAACCGAAGACGGGUGGGGGCCGUGAGAGCGGGAGCCCCGAGAUGGGCACUGAGACAAGGGCCCAGGCCCUAUGGGGUGCAGCAGGCUCGAAUACUCCGCAAUGCGGUAACCCGCGACGGGGCCACCCCGAGUGCCGCCCGAUGAGGGCGGCUUUUCCCCCGUGCAAGGAGCGGGGGGAAUAAGCGGGGGGCAAGUCUGGUGUCAGCCGCCGCGGUAAUACCAGCCCCGCGAGUGGUCGGGGUGUUUACUGGGCCUAAAGCGCCCGUAGCCGGCCCGGUAAGUCGCCCCUGAAAUCCACGGGCUCAACCCGUGGGCCGGGGGCGAUACUGCCGGGCUUGGGGGCGGGAGAGGCCGAGGGUACUCCCGGGGUAGGGGCGAAAUCCGAUAAUCCCGGGAGGACCACCAGUGGCGGAAGCGCUCGGCUGGAACGCGCCCGACGGUGAGGGGCGAAAGCUGGGGGAGCAAAGGGGAUUAGAUACCCCUGUAGUCCCAGCUGUAAACGAUGCGGGCUAGCUGUUGGGCGGGCUUAGUGCCCGCCCAGUGGCGUAGGGAAGCCGUUAAGCCCGCCGCCUGGGGAGUACGGCCGCAAGGCUGAAACUUAAAGGAAUUGGCGGGGGGGCACCACAAGGGGUGUGUGCUUGCGGCUUAAUUGGAGUCAACGCCGGG